UACGUAGGGGGCAAGCGUUGUCCGGAAUUAUUGGGCGUAAAGAGCGCGUAGGCGGUCCGGUAAGUCGGCUGUGAAAGUCAAGGGCUCAACCCUUGAAAGCCGGCCGAUACUGUCGGACUAGAGUCCGGAAGAGGCGAGUGGAAUUCCCGGUGUAGCGGUGAAAUGCGUAGAUAUCUGGAGGAACACCGGUGGCGAAGGCGGCAUCCUGGACCGGUAUUGACGCUGAGGCGCGAAAGCCAGGGGAGCAAACGGG
rnacentral:rRNA from 1 species